rnacentral:lncRNA from 1 species
UUUAAGAUUCGUCUAUGCCGAACCCAGUCAAGACCAUUUACGAAGAUAAGUCCAUUACCAGCAAGUUUAAGGAUCUCAGGUUUUGUCUUUGAUUUAGCAAAAAAACCAAACUUGUUCGAUAAGAUCUGUUUCGCUAGCUCAUGAUCUGAGAUGCAUAACCUUGGCUCUGUUCCUUGCCAGUAAAGAAAAGUCUCUCCUAAUAAAAUAGUACCAUUGGUAUCGUGUUAGUUACGCAUCAUAUCUUUGUCUAGUGAAACACAAAAAAACUAAAGAAAGGAAGAUUAGAGAAGAUGGAGAACUAAAACGGCACCGUAUUGAGACAUCCAUUGCUGAAGAUGAGGUAAAAGGCGAGGGACGAUAUCGUUGGAGUUUGGAUCAAGAAUCUUAAGCUUAGCUUCGUUCUUCACCUUCCUAAUCUCGCGGAGGUUCCCGUACAAGAUCCUGUAUUUUGGGCCUGAGAUUCCUUGCUUCUUGAAUCUUCUUGAUAGCAUCAAUGGCCGCCAAACAAGGAUCCGACAAGCUCCAUAUAUCUUCGGAACUACAAGGAGCACUAGAGCUAUUGCUAAGAGAUUGAUCGUGCUCAGGAGUUCCAUUGGAAGAACAAACAAUUUUUUUUUUUUGGUUUGAGUUUGCUUUGUGGUGGAUUCGAAGUGGGGUUUUCAGUUUUAUGUCUCAUGUGAGUGUGAGGUCGUCCUGACUUCUGUUUCUGAUAUAAGCAAGCACAAGCACUCUAUUUCUAUUUAUUCCUGUUUUGAAGAAAUAAUGAAUAAAAUUCUAACCGAACAAAAAAAGAGAUAAUGAAAAGAACUUUAUGUCAUUUUUUUUUUUUUUAAUAUAAUGUUAAAUUAUAUUCAAAGGAAAAAUAAACGUUUGUACAACAAGUGCAAAAGAACUUUAUGUUAAUUUUGGCAUCUUGUUUUGUCAAACACUUUGACAUCUAAAAAAGAAAUAUUUAAGCAUUUUCUUAAAUUUAUGAAAGAGAAUUUGUCUUUAACCAAUUGAAGUUUAUUCGAGUUAUACAGAUUAACAAAAGUAGUUCUGAAUUUUAUUUGAUAACUGAGAUGUGAUAUGAGUGAAAAAACAUAGGAGUUAGGAUCACACUUGGUUUUUAACAAAAUUCAACGUAGUUUAAUGGAGUUUAUUUUACAUAAGAGAAAUAAAAUAAUAGUAUAAUACAAUGUAACGGACGAUAAAUAAAGUAUGUUAAUGCCUUAAUAAUGGAGGUGUGGGGACAGUAGUCUUUUAAAUUCAUUGAACAACAUCGAUUAUAUAAUAGAUGACGUGAUUGCUUAUGCAAGUAAGUCUUAUCUUCUCGAAGCUUACAAGUUACAAGUUAGAAACAUAAGUUAUAUAGAUGUUGUUUCUAGGGAUAUGACACACGUAGAAAAUCGUAUAAAAGCUAAAGCUUACGUGAUCGUCUCAAACGGCAACCACGAAUAACGCAAACAGCGAUCCAGAUUUUUCGUUUGGCAUUUUGCCAUUUUUUGUAAUAAAAUCUGAUAUACUUUCAUCAUCAUAAUAUUUUGAAGUUAUAGGACAAUUUCUAUUGUUAUAACUUAUUAACAUUUUGCACUGUUUUUUUUUUCUGAACAAAAGGAGGUUCGAGAUUCCUAUAUUUUAGAUUUAUUAUGAUGCAUUUAUUAGUUUAUUAUCCCCGAAACCAAUUUCUAUGUGAACAAUACUGGAUUUAUCCAAGUACAAAAACAAUGACUCACGCAACAAUAUAUAUAUUUUGUCACAAAACAACAGUUAGUCAGUUUCAACAAUAUAUAUUGUCGGUUACUCAUGUUUCAAGUUGCUUUUAGCUUUUUAAUUCAUGAUGAAAACGUUCCACUUUUCAAUUACACAUGCAAUAUACAGUAUCACAUCACUUAUACGCCGGCUUUAAGCAAUAAGCCCAAUAUAUUAAUAACUAUUUAGCCCAUCCAAGGGUUCCAAAUUGAGACUGUAAAAGCCCAAUAAUUUAACAAGGAUUAGUUAAAGCCCCCACCAUAAGAAAUAAGCCGGCCUAUAUGAAGAAGACUUUGUCACACACAUAAGGUAGAGAGAUACUUAGUUUCAUUAAGACUUCAGUCUUCCAGAGGCUGAAGCAUUACGGGUAAGCCGUACUGAGGCUGAAUAGUGAGGUGAUCCACCGGCGCGUGCUUAUACUCGUCACAGAGGCUAAUAAACCGAAACCGUUGAAGAAUCAUGGUGAGCACAGUCUUGGCUUCGAUCAUGACAAAGUUUUGGCCAAUGCAGGCUCUUGGUCCGACGGAGAAUGCUAGGAGAGCAUUUGGGUGGUUGGCGGCUCGGGAAACACCGUUUGCAAACCGCGUUGGGUUGAAUUUGUCGGCGUCGGAUCCCCAAAGGGUCUUGUCGCUAUGCAUCUUCAGAAGCGGGAUGACGACGGUUGUGCCCUUGGGAAUCUCUAGGUCACCUAGCUUUGUGCUUACUGAUGCUUCUCGGGCCAAAGCUGACGUUGGUCCGUAAAGUCGAAGCGACUCCAUGAUCACCAUGUUCAUCUGCAAGAAAUAAACAGGUUUCUUCAACCGCAAGAAACAUUGUCUCACAAGAAACCCUUUGAAAAAAUGAAAAACAUUACCAGUUUGAGUUUGGAGAAAGUUUCUGAAUCUAGGGUUUUUUGUUUACCACAUUCUUUGAAUAUCUCUUCUCUGAGUUUCUCCUGCCAAUCUUGGUGCAAGCUCAGCAACAUCGUUGUCCAUGUCAAUAAAUUCGCAGUAGUUUCGUGACCUCCGAAGAAGAAAGUCCUGCAUUCAUGUAUGAUCUCUUCGAUGCUCAUCUUUCGUUCGUUCCCUUCAGUUUUGUAUGCUUUCAACAAGAUUCCCAGAAGAUCGUCUCCAUAAUCUGAUUGUGACUCUAGUCUCGACCUUAUAAUUCUCUUAAUUGACUUAUCCAUUUUCCUCUCCAGCUUCCAUAUCCGAAAGUUCGAAGGCGUAGGAAGAUACCUUAGAAUACAAGAAACAAGACCAAUAUAUUUCAAAUCCUAAGAAUCUUGCCUGAACAGAGAACUGAAAAUAGCAGAGUGAUAAACUUACUGAGUUCCAGGGAUAAAGACUUUGUUGAGAGACGGUAUACAACACUUUUUAAGCUCCAUUUGUGAUCUAAACACUUCGAUUCCUUCGACGUAACUACUUCCAAAAGCAGAGGUCGCUAUUACAUCUGCUGUUAGUCUUUGGAACUCUCUGUGCAUUUCCUUUUUAAUCAUCGGUUGCGCUGUUUCUUCCUUACUCUUCUCUUUUCUCCACUCCUCUAACAUCUUGAGCGUACAAUCCACCAUCACGGUAGUCAUGAUCUGAUCAACAAAAUGAAAAAAUAAAACAAAAAUUAGAUUAAUUACAUCUGUUUUCUAUAAGGGUUAAUUUCUCAAAUCCAGCUAAGAAAGAAGGAUUAAAAGACCUUGAGCCUAUCGAUGGAGAAAGCAGGGUUCAAGAUUCUUCUAUGGCGAACCCAAUCAGAACCUUCGAUAAAGACAAGUCCUUUGGAGCCGACAAGUUUAACGACCUCGGGUCUCAUCUUUGAUUUGACAAAGAAACCUAACUUGUUCGACAAGAUAUUUUUUGCAAGUUCAGGAUCUGAGAUGCAUACCCUUGGCUCUGUUCCGUUCCAGUAAAGAAAUGUCUCUCCUAAUAAUAUAUAACAUAGAUAACUUGUUUGUUACGCAUUAUCCUCUAAGGAAGUUGAAUCUAAAUUUAAAGAUGAACAAAGAGAGAGAUGGAGAAAACGGCACCGUAUUGAGACAUCCAUCGUUGAUAAUGAGGAAGAAUACGAGGGAAAAUAUCAUUGGAGCUGGGAUCAAGAGUCGAAAGAUGAGAUUCUCUCUUCAUCUUCUUUAUCUCGCUGAGGUUUCCGUGAAAGAUUCUGUACUUUGGGCCUGAGAUUCCUUGGUUUUUGAAUCUUCUGGUCACCACAAAUGGAUGCCAAACAAGGAUCACAAAAGCCUCGAAUAUCCUUAGACCAAUAAGGAGCAAGACAAUUAGUGCCAAGAAAAUUACGAGCUCCAUUGAAAAAAACAAAAAAAAAAAGAUUUUUUUUUUUCCUUUCUUUGUGUGUGUGUAUUAUUGUUGUUGAUUUGGUGUUUUAAGUUUUACAUUAUAUAAUGACAUGCAUAUAUAACUUCUUACACUUGAAUUUGUAAAAUAAGUGUGAGCGGCCAGUAAAUCAGGCACUGAACAUGAAGUAAACACAAACACGUCUGUAUAUUUUCAAUUUGAGAACAAACAAAAAGUAAUUAGUAAAGUAAAAGGUGCCUUAUAUAUGGUAUGAUGAUAGAGUAGAUUCUAAAUUUGUUUAUAGCACAGAUUGUUACGUAAUAAGAAGAUUAGAGAAAGUAUAAAAGAGAAGUGGAAGUUUUCUAGAUAAAAGAAAAAUAUAAAUUACUCUUGAAAGUAAUCCUUUUGGGAGAAUAAUUCAGGAUUUGAAUUCACACUUGAAUAAAUAUAGAACGGUUACGGUUAGCAUUCCUUGUAUCUUAGGUUUACUGUCUUUGUAUCCUAAAAUGAUAAAAUCUCUUCACAUCCAACGGUGCGAUGCGAUAAAUUCGUGGUUGUAGAUUGUAAUCUUAGGAAAUUUUAUUUUGAUACGUCUCUUAUUCCUCUGUUUUGUUUCGUAUACACCUUUUAAAGGUGGAUGCGGAUUUUAAUAUUGUAAUUAAGUGAAUUUGUUAAGACUUAACUAUCCAAUUUCUUAAACUUUAGUAUCUUGUUAUCUUAGCUUUGAACAAUAAUCAACUUUUAAAAAGAAAGAGCCUUCACACUAACUAUUUCAGAAAAUCGGACUAGAUUGUCUUGAUACGAUGAUUUUUUUUUAAAUAUCCGGAUCAUGCUGAUAUAAUAUUUUUGGAUAUUUGUCCUACUAGUCAUCCGUUAGUGUUUCCUUAGGCUGCUCCAAAAUUUAACAUCAUAGAUGCCCAAUUUAUUAGUGGGAUUAGGCCCAAAUACGAUGUAGAAUAACUACUAAUUAAACGGUAGAUUAGAUAAGUAGGGUUUCUUUUAGUAAAUCGUUUUUUUGGGGGGAUUUAAUUCAAAUGUGGAGAGGCUUAACCAUUAUGGGUAAGCCGUACUGUGGAUGGAGACUGAUGUAAUCCAUCGGAGCGUGCUUAUACUCGCGGGAGAGGUUAAGCCGGAACCGUUGAAGAAUCAUAGUAAGCACAGUCUUAGCUUCCAUCAUGGCAAAGUGUUGGCCAAUGCAAGCUCUUGGUCCGAAUGAGAACGCGAGGAGAGCGUUUGGGUUAUUAGCGGCCUGAGAAACGCCGUUUGCAAAUCGCAGGGGAUUGAAUUUGUCGGCGUCAUCUCCCCAAACGUCUCGGUCGCUGUGCAUCUUCAGCAACGGGAAGAUUAUGCUCGUUCCCUUGGGGAUCUCCACGCGUCCUACAUUCAUAUCUUGUGUUGCCACUCGAGACAUUUGAAUUAUGGGUCCUUACAGACGAAGUGACUCCAUUAACACCAUGUUCAUCUGCAAGAUAUAACAUGUUACUUCAAUCACAAGAAAUCAUUUUCUUUAACCGCAAGAAACUAUUUUAAAAAGGUAACUUAUUACCAGUUUGAGUUUGGAUAAAGUGUCUGAAUCUGGGAUCUUGUCUUUACCACAUUCCUUAAAAACCUACUCUCUGAGUUUCUCUUGCCAAUCUUGGUGUAAGCUAAGCAACAUCGUAGUCCAUGCCAAUAAAAUCGAAGUAGUUCCGUGUCCUGAUAUGAAGAAAUUUUUGCAUUCUUCUAUGAUCUCAUCUAUGCUCAACUUUUUCUCGGGAUCUUCAGAGGUUGCAGCGUUUAACAUGAUUCCUAGAAGAUCAUCAUCUCCAUGAUUCUUCCAUUUUAGCCUAGUAUCAAUGAUUCUUCUGAUCAUGUUCUUUACUUUCCUAUCGAGCUUCCAUAUACGAAGAUUCAAAGGUGUAGGAAGGUACCUUGCAGUAUAAGAAAGAACCAAAACUCAAGAAUCUCUUCUGAUUAAAUAACUAAAAGUAGUAGAGUGAUUACACUUACUGUUUUCCGUGGAUGAACACUUUGGUGGCAGAAGUAACACAACAAUUCCGAAGCUCUACAUGUGCUCUAAAGAUUUCAUUUCCUUCGGCGUAACUGCUUCCAAACGCAGUGGUCGCUAUAAUAUCAGCGGUUAAUCGAUAAAACUCUUUCUUCAUCUCCAUCUUCAUCACAUUUUGCUCUGUUUCUUCAUAUUUGUUCUGUUUUCUCCACUCCUCGAAUAUCCUCAAUGUGCAAUCCACCAUCGAUUUCGUCAUGACCUAAAAAUAAGUUAUCAGCAAGUAAUGAGAUUAACUACUGAUUGUUCUAAUUAGGGCUGUGUUCCCAAUCAAGGAAAAAAAGAUUAAAAAGACCUUAAGCCGGUCAGUGGAGAGUGCAGGGUUCAAGAUUCUUCUAUGGCGAACCCAAUCAGCACCCUCAGAGAAGGAAAGUCCUUUACCGAAAAAUAUGAGCAACUCCGGUCUCCUCUUUGAUCUAACCGAAAAACCUAACUUGCUCGACAAGAUUUGUUUAGCUAGUUCAGGAUCUGAGGUGCAUAUCGUCGGCUCUGUUCCAUUCCAGUAGAGAAAUGUUUCUCCUAUAAUAUUACAACAGAUAACCGGUGCGUUACGCAUUCUAUCGAUAAUUCAAAUAAAGUAAUGUCAACAAAGAGAGAUGGAGAAAUGAAACGGCACCGUAUUUAUACAUCCAAUGCUGAAAAUGAGGAAAAACGCGAGGGAAAAUAUUGUUGGUGUUGGGUCUAUCUUCAUCUUUCUUAUCUCCCUCAUGUUUCCGUAAAAGAGGCUGUAUUUAGGACCUGAUAUUCCUUGUUUCUUGAACCUUCUUGAUAGCAUCAAUGGCCGCCAAACAAGGAUCCGACAACAUUCCCAUAUCUUUGGAACAACAACAAGCAGAAACUCCAUCAAAAGAAACAAAGAGGUGCUCAGAAACUCCAUCAAAAGAAACAAAGAGGAAAAGUGUAAUGUGAGUGUUUAAGUUUGCUU